CGCGGAGGCUCCAGAUCCCUCUGGCUGCCAUCUUCUCUACACGCAAUUAUGCCAUCCAUCAACCUGCCCUUUAGACAGUUGCCGAGUCUCCCAGCCGCACGCCAAGCAUCAGGCUCCCAAGGAGCUCCAUUCGGGAAUGAAGCAGGGAAGCGACACAGCGCAUUCACAUCAAACGAGACUGGGCCAGAUUGGGACAAAAGGGCAUUUCUGACAAAGAGAAAUGCUUGCUUGAUAUAACCGCCGACCUGUGGCGUCUUGCAUUCCCAUAUAAGCAGUUUCACCUAUAUCAGACAGGUACGGCCGAUGAAGCCAACGCCUCCAGGCUGAAAGAGGUGGACGAAUGAAGAAAGGGCAACUACUGAUAGGAAUGUGGCACUUUGAAUUAAUUUCAGAUGAGGAUAAAUGUCAAGGGAGCGUCCCGAACUUCCGACCUGGAAGGGGGAAAUAAUAAUAACGAUGAUGACGAUGAUGAUGAAGAUGAUGGGCUCCGCUUUAGGGGGAACUGAGAGGUUCUGGUUGCUGGCAUCUUUUUGUACUUACACAUUUGAUUAAAGGGCAUGGGCUUUGCUGAGCGCCUUUUCAGGCAACGUGUUUGUCUGAAAAAGUGCUAUCAAAAACCUGAUUUUCGGCUUCCA